GGCUGGUCCGAAGGUAGUGAGUUAUCUCAAUUGAUUGUUCACAAUCAGUACAGAUUGAACUCCUUGUUCUACCCUUCUCACUACUGCACUUGACUAGUCUAAA
rnacentral:Y_RNA from 1 species